rnacentral:miRNA from 1 species
ACAUAGGGUCCAAAGCCAUUG